GACGUUGAUAGGCCGGGUGUGUAAGCGCAGCGAUGCGUUGAGCUAACCGGUACUAAUGAACCGUGAGGCUUAACCUUACAACGCCGAAG
rnacentral:rRNA from 19 species